rnacentral:rRNA from 1 species
CGGACGGGUGAGUAAUGUCUGGGAAACUGCCCGAUGGAGGGGGGUAACUACUGGAAACGGUAGCUAAUACCGCAUAACGUCGCAAGACCAAAGAGGGGGACCUUAGGGCCUCUUGCCAUCGGAUGUGCCCAGAUGGGAUUAGCUAGUAGGUGGGGUAACGGCUCACCUAGGCGACGAUCCCUAGCUGGUCUGAGAGGAUGGCCAGCCACACUGGAACUGAGACACGGUCCAG